GCCGCUUGAAGCGCACUUCAGCUCGCGCUCACUGAACACUCGCUCCCGUAUGUGCCUGGAGAGCCUCGCGCAAAGGAGGCGCCGGACGCGCUCAAUUCGUGUGGAGACUUUUAAAACCUUCCAGAUACGUCGAAAAUAAAUGGAUUCGCUCACUUCGUCGAUAUAAACGAGAUUAUCAAGUGCUCAGAUCCAUGGAAUGUUGUUCUGCGGUGUUCUUGCCUGUGAAAUCGAGCGGUACUUCUGCUGGGAAUCUAUUGUUAAUGAUCUGUCAUAGGAGCUUACGCGACUUGGGAUUCAUAUCUGUCGCCUUCACCUUCCCUUUGACUAAAAACCUGAUUCUUUUCACCUGAGUGAGGAAUGUAUGACUCAUUGCUGAACAGAUAUCAGUCUGUCUGAUCUGUCGUUGAAAAUAUCCUCCGCUUCUGACAGCUUUCGCCACCGCAGUCGUUAAAAACGUUCCUCUGAAGAUUUAUUGUUGGGACAGGUUCGUAAUUCUUGUCCGCCUUCGGUCGGUAGAGAUCUACGGGAGCUCGGCGAAAGAAAUCUGCCUUAGCUUUCAUAAGGCAUAUGCUGGAUGUAACGGAAUUGCAUUGUAUUAGACACCUUUCGCAAAAUCGGUUCGAGUAUUUUUCCCCGAUGGAAGCGAAUCUAAUAUAGAAUUCGGCAUCUGAUGUAGGGUCAGAGAAGCUGUUCUCGCCUACUGCACCUAAAGUUACGCCAACGAAUGAG